rnacentral:rRNA from 1 species
GGGCUGCAGUAUUUUGACUGUACAAAGGUAGCAUAAUCAUUAGUCAUUUAAUUGAUGACUUGUAUGAAAGAUUGGAUGAAAUAUAUACUGUCUCUUAAUUAUUUAUAGAAUUUAAUUUUUUAAUUAAAAAGUUAAAAUGUAUUAAAAAGACGAGAAGACCCUAUAGAGUUUUAUAUUUAAAUUAAUUAAGAUUAUUUAUAAAUUUAUUAAUUAAAAUUGUUUUAAAUAUUUUGUUGGGGUGACAAAAAAAUAUAAAUAACUUUUUUUAAAAUUUAACAUAUAUAAGUGAUUAAAUGAUCCAAUAUUAUUGAUUAUAAGAAAAAAUUACCUUAGGGAUAACAGCGUAAUUUUUUUUUUUAGUUCAAAUAAAAAAAAGAGUUUGCGACCUCGAUGUUGGAUUAAGAUAAAAUUUAAAUG